AGAACUUCCUUUUAUUUGUUUUAAACCUGCUGCCCAUUAAUUUAAUUUGGUGGCCCCUGUUUCUUAUAUUAUAGAAACCUACAUGGGAAAUAGAAAUUUGAUAAUGGAGGGCUCUUCAAGCUAGCAGAUGAAGGUAUAACAAGAUCCAAUGGAUGAAAAUUGAAACUAGACAAAUUCACAUUAGAAGAAAGGCAUAUUUUUUUUUAUCAGUGAGAGUAAUUAACCAUAGGAACAAUUUACCAAAGGUUGUGGUGGAUUCUCAAUCACUGGAAAUUUUUAAAUCAAGCUAGGAUGGGUUCCUUAAGGAUAUGCUGUAGUUCCAACAGGAAUUAAUUCAAUUAAGUUUUAUGGCCUGUGUAGUACAGGAGGUCAAACUAGAUGAUCACAGUGGUCACUUCUGGCCACAUAAUCUAUUAACACUUAUGCGUGAAGUUAGCUAUCUAACACUGAAAGGUAAUGAAAUGCAUGCUGUGACAUACAUUUUUUCUUUAGUUUCUUCAGUUUCAUUCUCAUUGGAAGAGAAUAAUACAAAUUAAUCUAACUGGUAAUCAUUAGAGGCAGUGAGAGAUUAGUGUGAAUUCUUUAAUUGCCUGGAGGAAGGAAGGAGCCCAACCUUGUUUGUUUGUUUUUUGCAUUCCAUACUGCCAACAGUGUGCUAGGUACUGCCCAUGUGUGCAGGAGGCCAAAGGGUCCGGUCCAAAGAGCUUGCAGAAGAAGCUCAAUGUCUCUAUGAAGACAAACAUACAAACAGUAGUGGGAAGGAAAGCAUCCAAUCAUGAGUAGUCUGGAAGAAAGUAUCAGCCCACCAUUUCUGUUGUGAGUGCAUUUUUUUGCACACACAUGUGUGUUCUCACAAGUGUAUGGUGCUUAUCAAGUAGUCAGUCACCCAGUAGUUAGUAUUUGCAUCUGCAACACAUUGCCCAGUAGGUCAAAACAUAGCUAUAGUUCUUCUAGUAUAAUUAGCUAGGCAGGUAGCAGAAUGUUUGAACCUAGCCUCAGAACCUGGAAGAACCGUUGUCUUGUUCUGAGGCAGGCCAAGGACUCUGUAUUACCACAUUGCAACCCUCUCACACCAAGUGCUUGGUUUUGAGGCCCUUCUCUGGACUUCAUCCUUCAGAUGGUAAUCUCCUGUAAUCAGCCUACUCCAGCCUUCAAUUUGGUAGCUCUGUAUGGCUCCUGUUGUAAGAGAGUUCUCUCUGCACCAGCAGCAACUAAAUUUUUUGAUCAGCCAGGAUUUUUAUAGCUUUGAAAAAUCCCAGAAACUAUUAUAAACCUUUCCCCUUCCACAGAGGAUCACCCUCGGCCUUCUUAUUUCAGGAUUCCUCUAAUGAAGCUGUUCUAAAACCAGCCUCUUAUCAGGUUUGCCUUCUUCCUUAGUUAUGAAUUUAAGUACCAGCAAAUAGCUCUUUCCCCCCUCAUCCUAGUACAGUCAGGCAUCCUUUAUGGAGACUCUACUUCUGCUGCAACCGUUCUUUGAUACGUGGGGGAGGGGUGCCUGAUGGAACAUGAGAGCUCUGGGAACAGAAAUUCCGCUAUCCAAGUAUGCAGAAAAUAGGCUGGGCCAGGAAAAGAAACCUUCACAAGCACUCAUACGCCCCUUCACAUACCCCAUAGCUAUAUAUGCUGAGCCCAUUAAACCUAUCCUGUCCUUGCCUGUUGCUGUGCACCCACACCUUUCAAAGGCUCUGUAUGUUUUUUCCCCUGUUAAGCUGAAAUUAAAGAAGGUUCUUAAGUUUAACCACAUUUGCUUUAACUAGUGUCUGUGGAAAAGGCUAUGAUGCAACACCACUGCUUGUAGCAGUGCUUCUCUCCCCCAGUUGGAGAUGGAGUGUUCAUUCUUUCACCGAUCCCAAACUACAGUGGCUUCUGCAGUUUAAUACUCAAACUAUACUGGCACAGAAAACGUCUUUUUUUUAAUAGUCAAAACAACAUUCAAAAGGAUUAAGUAGGUCGAUUUUAGACACAAGUCUUACAGAAAGUGAAAAGUCAUCAUUAAUGUACGUUUUAUGUAGGAAAAAGAAUGUGUGUGUGAUGGGGGGAGAGUUUCAGUGACUUGAUCGUUAUUUACUUGUGAGGAUUUAAUAUCCGUUCUCAUUCUCAAGAAGGACCUUAGCUUUGUGAUAUUUAAGAAAACAAAAAUCAUCUCCCAUAGAUUCAAAUUGUCAUGAAUAAUUGAUUAAUAAUAAUCCAAUUCUGAAAAUUAAAUAGCCUAAAAUAUGCCCAUGUUUUACAGAUAGAAAGGUCAUUGCUAUCCAUCAUUUCUCUGCUUCAAUUGCCUCUUUCUCCUCUACUAAACAGCAUCCUGCAUAAGGGUUCUUCUCUUGGGAAAGGGAUACUUCAUCCAUCUCUGGGGGGAUAAACUACCAUUUACAUUGUGGUGCCCACUAUCUUAAUUAAAGAAAAGGAGUGAACUAUUACAGUGAAGUGGAGAAAAGAGUUUGGCACCCAAAAGACUGAUGACCUACCAAAUAUUAAGAUUGCUCACAAAGUGCAUACUUUUGAAAUCACCAUAUUUCAAAAUGUUGAGCAUAAGCUAAUCCUUUCAGCACUACAUAAGGAUGAAUAAUGUGACCUAUUGUGACAGUUUUCAGCCAGCAGAAGAUAGCAUUGUGUUCCCAGUAGAGCUGAAUUUGCACAAGUUACACCUCUGAAAAUGCCAGAUGGUCUAUGGUCUACUUUUGAGAGCUGUCACAUAUGUAAAGAUUUGAAAAAAGAAAGACAGCUGAAUGAGAGCAGUGGAUCAUUAAAGGAAGAGUGAGGGUCCCUGGGUAUCACUGUGUUUUAAGAAGCAUUGUGUCAUUUCCCAUAUUACUUUUUUUUUUUUUAAGAUAUACACAACCUUUUUUUUAA